UUGCUACUCCCUCCGUUCGGAAUUACUUGUCUCGGAAAUGGAUGUAUCUAGAACUAAAAUACGUCUAGAUACAUCCAUUUCUGCGACAAGUAAUUCCGAACGGAGGGAGUACAAG
rnacentral:pre_miRNA from 1 species